AAGAGUUUGAUCCUGGCUCAGGAUUAACGCUGGCGGCGCGCCUAAUACAUGCAAGUCGAACGGAAACCUUAGGGUUUUAGUGGCGAACGGGUGAGUAACACGUAAGCAACCUGCCUUUAAGACGUGGAUAACAAUUGGAAACAGUUGCUAAGACAGGAUAGGAAAUUAAGAGGCAUCUUUUAAUUUUUAAAAGACCUUUUUCGAAAGGUAUACUUAAAGAGGGGCUUGCGCCACAUUAGUUAGUUGGUAAGGUAAAAGCUUACCAAGACGAUGAUGUGUAGCUGGACUGAGAGGUCGAACAGCCACAUUGGGACUGAGACACGGCCCAAACUCCUACGGGAGGCAGCAGUAAGGAAUUUUUGGCAAUGGAGGAAACUCUGACCGAGCGACGCCGCGUGAACAAUGAAGUACUUCGGUAUGUAAAGUUCUUUUAUUGAAAAAGAAAAAAUAGUGGAAAAACUAUCUUGACAUUAUUCAAUGAAUAAGCCCCGGCUAAUUAUGUGCCAGCAGCCGCGGUAAUACAUAAGGGGCGAGCGUUAUCCGGAAUUAUUGGGCGUAAAGGGUGCGUAGGCGGUUUGAUAAGUCUAUAGUUUAAAUGCAGUGCUUAACGCUGUAGCGCUAUAGAAACUGUCUGACUAGAGUUAGAUAGAGGCAAGCGGAAUUCCAUGUGUAGCGGUAAAAUGCGUAAAUAUAUGGAGGAACACCAGAGGCGUAGGCGGCUUGCUGGGUCUUAACUGACGCUGAGGCACGAAAGCGUGGGGAGCAAACAGGAUUAGAUACCCUGGUAGUCCACGCCGUAAACGAUGAGUACUAAGUGUCGGGUUUCGACUCGGUACUGAAGUUAACACAUUAAGUACUCCGCCUGAGUAGUACGUACGCAAGUAUGAAACUUAAAGGAAUUGACGGGACCCCGCACAAGCGGUGGAUCAUGUUGUUUAAUUCGAAGAUACACGAAAAACCUUACCAGGUCUUGACAUAAUUUUGCGACAUUAUAGAAAUAUAAUGAAGGUUAUCAGAAUUACAGGUGGUGCAUGGUUGUCGUCAGCUCGUGUCGUGAGAUGUUAGGUUAAGUCCUAAAACGAGCGCAACCCUUGUCGUUAGUUGCGACCACGUAAUGGUGAGCACUUUAGCGAGACUGCCAAUGAAAAAUUGGAGGAAGGUGAGGAUUACGUCAAAUCAUCAUGCCCCUUAUGAUCUGGGCUACAAACGUGAUACAAUGGCUGUUACAAAGAGUAGCUGUAACGUGAGUUUAUGGCCAAUCUCAAAAAAACAGUCUCAGUUCGGAUUGAAGUCUGCAACUCGACUUCAUGAAGUUGGAAUCGCUAGUAAUCGCGAAUCAGCAUGUCGCGGUGAAUACGUUCUCGGGGUUUGUACACACCGCCCGUCAAACCACGAAAGUUGAUAAUACCCGAAAGCGGUCGCCUAACUUCGUUAGAAGAGGGAGCCGUCUAAGGUAGGAUCGAUGAUUGGGGUUAAGUCGUAACAAGGUAUCCCUACCGGAAGGUGGGGAUGGAUCACCUCCUUUCUAAGGAAAUGUAGAAUCAUCAUCUUCAGUUUUGAAAGACUUAGUUAAGUUUUUCUCAUUUAUUUUGUUUUUUUGAUAUCCUGGGCCUAUAGCUCAGUUGGUUAGAGCACACGCCUGAUAAGCGUGAGGUCGGUGGUUCAAGUCCAUUUAGGCCCACCAAACGUUUUUAUAAAAAACGUGUUAUCAAAAGAAAGUUCUUUGAAAAGUAGAUAAACAAGAAAAUAAUAUCCGUUUUUAAAGGAAGUAAGGGCGUACAGUGGAUGCCUUGGCACUAAGAGCCGAUGAAGGACG
rnacentral:rRNA from 1 species